CCCAUUCUGGUGCCAUAAUCUUUUUUUUUUUGGAUAGAAUUCUGGUCCCAUAUCUUGUCAUGAGCUAGAAGCAUAUCUUUCCAUUCUUUAUCCAAUUUUUUAGCAUGGUCUGUUGGCCGCCAGUGGGAUUUUACCUUUUAAUAUACUAGUCUAACAUGUAUGUAUAUGAUAAUAUGAAGAAGCACCCAGAGUAUUUUAAUAACAAUAGUACCCGUAAGGGGUAGACUCCAUUUAAUAAUAAUAGUUUUUGUAAUAUUUGAUUCUACAAAAAAAUGAAUUUUAUACUACAUAUAUAAAUUCCAGAAUGUAAAUAGCUAUGUAACAUGUAUGGUUAUGCUUGUUCCUUCAUUCUGCAGUUCCGUUUUUGCUUGUUCCUUCAUUCUGCAUUCUUCAUUCUCUUCUGUCUAUUCCCCCUGUCCACUAUCACAGAUUCAUAGGUCAGGAUGUCGUCCAUUUUGCUAAAAAUAUCUGGAACAAUACGUUUAAAAUAUCAUUGGGUACCCUUUCCUCAACUCUCUCAAGGAGAAAUUUGUUUAAAAUACGUUUAAUAUUUUUCUGCUGGCGCUUAUUAAUCUCAGUAUGGAAGUUCUGGCAAGUAUAUGUUAGGAAAGCCUGGUUAAAUGAAUGACACAGGUUUCAAAGCAGGUUGUGUGGAAGUUGAAUCCGUUUCUGUAUAUGUUGCUGUCACUGCACUACUAUUAAUUGCUCGUUUCUGGUGUUAAAAAGGUUUUCUGGAUGUCAUCAUUCAAGGCAGUGAUUAAACUUAGAAAUUGAUAAAAUUAUUUUAUAGGGAAAGUGAUAUUCAGAAUCUCAUCAUAUAUUCAUAUCUCACUGUUCUGUGGGAACAUGUCCAUGUGUUUUUCAACUUUUUGGUUACAUACUUUGUAUAGCUAGAGCAUCUCUAUAUGCUUGUAUUCCUUUCAAAUAUGCUUCCUGGUUUGAAGAAUGUAGAUACGGCAUCCUUUCACAUGUUACAGUUUUUACUCUGUCUGCACUUUGGAGAUUACAAAUGGAUAAUAUCAAUGGAGCUCCAUCACAUAAUUUUGUAACAUAUUUUGUGUGGAUAAGUGGUUUAAAGAGAUACAUGGGUGACCUUGGAGUUCUUGGAACUGGAAUACCAAUAGGAAAACUUGAUAUGUAUGUUGCUGCAGCUGGUAUUAAUUCAGAGUCAUUGGGAGAUCAAGUGGAAUACCAAGCAACGCAGCAAGUUAUAUUAUCUUUCAUCAUGUAAAACUUAGCUAGGAAACUUGAAAAUUGAAAUGUAUGAAUGCAAUAACAAUGUUCCUUAAAUUCAGUAUUUGAUAAAUUGAUGUA